rnacentral:rRNA from 1 species
AGCGAACGCUGGCGGCAGGCCUAACACUUGCAAGUCGAACGAACCCUUCGGGGUUAGUGGCGGACGGGUGAGUAACACGUGGGAACGUGCCUUUAGGUUCGGAAUAACUCAGGGAAAAUUGUGCUAAUACCGAAUGUGCCCUUCGGGGGAAAGAUUUAUCGCCUUUAGAGCGGCCCGCGUCUGAUUAGCUAGUUGGUGAGGUAAAGGCUCACCAAGGCUACGAUCAGUAGCUGGUCUGAGAGGAUGACCAGCCACAUUGGGACUGAGACACGGCCCAAACUCCUACGGGAGGCAGCAGUGGGGAAUCUUGCGCAAUGGGCGAAAGCCUGACGCAGCCAUGCCGCGUGGAUGAUGAAGGUCUUAGGAUUGUAAAAUCCUUUCACCGGUGAAGAUAAUGACUGUAGCCGGAGAAGAAGCCCCGGCUAACUUCGUGCCAGCCGCCGCCGUAAGAC